UACGUAGGUGGCUAGCGUUGUCCGGAUUUAUUGGGCGUAAAGAGCGCGCAGGCGGUCGUUCAAGUCGAGUGUGAAAGCCCCCGGCUCAACUGGGGAGGGUCACUCGAUACUGAUCGACUCGAAGGCAGGAGAGGGAAGCGGAAUUCCCGGUGUAGUGGUGAAAUGCGUAGAUAUCGGGAGGAACACCAGUGGCGGAGGCGGCUUUCUGGCCUGCUCUUGACGCUGAGGCGCGAAAGCUAGGGUAG
rnacentral:rRNA from 1 species